UCCACGCCGUAAACGAUGAGUACUAAGUGUUGGGGGAACCCAGUGCUGUAGUUAACAUAUUAAGUACUCCGCCUGAGUAGUACGUACGCAAGUAUGAAACUCAAAGGAAUUGACGGGACCCCGCACAAGCGGUGGAUGAUGUUGUUUAAUUCGAAGAUACGCGAAAAACCUUACCAGGUCUUGACAUACUCUGCAAAGCUAUAGAGAUAUAGUGGAGGUUAACAGAGAUACAGGUGGUGCAUGGUUGUCGUCAGCUCGUGUCGUGAGAUGUUGGGUUAAGUCCCGCAACGAGCGCAACCCUUAUUGCUAGUUACCAUCAUUAAGUUGGGGACUCUAGCGAGACUGCCAGUGAUAAACUGGAGGAAGGUGGGGAUGACGUCAAAUCAUCAUGCCCCUUAUGACCUGGGCUACAAACGUCAUACAAUGGCUGAAACAAAGAGAAGCGAAGCAGUGAUGUGGAGCAAAACUCAUAAAAGCAGUCUCAG
rnacentral:rRNA from 1 species